rnacentral:rRNA from 1 species
UACAGAGGGUGCAAGCGUUAAUCGGAGUUACUGGGCGUAAAGGGCGCGUGGGCGGUAGUAUGGGUGUGAUGUGAAAGCCCCGGGCUUAACCUGGGAAGGGCAUCGCAAACUAUAAUACUGGAGUAUAUGAGAGGGUGGCGGAAUUUCCGGUGUAGCGGUGAAAUGCGUAGAGAUCGGAAGGAACGUCAAUGGCGAAGGCAGCCACCUGGCAUAAUACUGACGCUGAGGCGCGAAAGCGUGGGGAGCGAACAGG